CCUCCGUGGAGCCGCAGUAGGGCAUCUUCCACAAUGGGCGAACGCCUGAUGGAGCAACGCCGCGUUGUUGCAGAAGGUCUUCGGAUCAUAAAACCCUGUUGUUAGAGAAGAACGUGCGUGAGAGUAACUGUUCACGUUUCGACGGUAUCUCCCAGGAAGACACCGGCAAACUCAUUCCAGGCACCCGCGGUAAUACGUAGGUGGCCAGGGUGAUCCGGAUUUAUUGGCCGUAAAGGGAACGCAGGCGGUCUUUUAAGUCUGAUGUGAAAGCCUUCGGCUUAACCGGAGUAGUGCAUUGGAAACUGGGAGACUUGAGUGCAGAAGAGGAGAGUGGAACUCCAUGUGUAGCGGUGAAAUGCGUAGAUAGAUGGAAGAACACCAGUGGCGAAAGCGGCUCUAUGGUCUGUAACUGACGCUGAGGUUCGAAAGCGUGGGUAGCAAACAGGAUUAGAUACCCUGGUAGUC
rnacentral:rRNA from 1 species